UAAGGAAUAUUGGUCAAUGGAGGCAACUCUGAACCAGCCAUGCCGCGUGCAGGAUGACUGCCCUAUGGGUUGUAAACUGCUUUUGUCAGGGAAUAAACCUUUCUACGUGUAGAAAGCUGAAUGUACCUGAAGAAUAAGGAUCGGCUAACUCCGUGCCAGCAGCCGCGGUAAUACGGAGGAUCCAAGCGUUAUCCGGAUUUAUUGGGUUUAAAGGGUGCGUAGGCGGUCCUAUAAGUCAGUGGUGAAAGACGGCAGCUUAACUGUCGCAGUGCCUUUGAUACUGUAGGACUUGAAUCUAUUUGAAGUGGGCGGAAUAAGACAAGUAGCGGUGAAAUGCAUAGAUAUGUCUUAGAACUCCGAUUGCGAAGGCAGCUCACUAAGUUAGUAUUGACGCUGAUGCACGAAAGCGUGGGGAUCAAACAG
rnacentral:rRNA from 1 species